rnacentral:lncRNA from 1 species
AAUAUAAUGCUAGGCAGUGCCUAAUUUUAGAUUAGGUGGUUUUAAAAGACCUCUCUGAAUAACUAGGAAGGAUAUUUGAAAAGAACCUUAAAUCUUGAGUAGAAGCCAAAAAUGUAAAUGUCAGAGCAAAAGAGUGUUCCUGGUAAAUGAAGCUGAGGAAAAUUUAUGUGGGAAAAAUAAAAGAAAAGGAAAAAAAAAGGCAAUGGGACUAUAGCAGAACAAAUCAGAAAAACAGUGAAAGACUUUGAGUAGAGGAGAACUGAGAGUUAGGUAAUAGAAGAACUGAAUGGCCACAAUAAGAAAUUUGGAAAUUAUUUCAGUUUCUAGGGGAAGGCAAUGGGGGACCUAAGUAGAGAAAGGGAAGAUCUGAUUUACAGAAAAAGACUACUAUAAAAGGAGAUCAGACUGCAGGGCAGCAAAGUAGAAGCAGAAAGGCACUUAGGUAGUUACUAGGCCACAUCAAUUACAGAGAAUGAAGGCUCUAAGGGGGUAGUGUUGAAAACAGCAGUAACUUGUCUUCAUACUGUACAAAUAUUUCCUUUUUGUCUCAGAAAAACACUUUCCCGUCUGCUCUCGCAACUGACCUAAUUCUCCAACUCUGGAUUCCAUCUCUUCCUCCUCAUUUGCAUUUAAUGUUAGUAUUUUCUCCUUCUGAUUCCAAACCACCUUCCUCUCAUCAGGAGGAUCAGGAUCAGGAUAGGCAGGCAUAGAAUAUAGCUGCUCUUUCUGAUAAUACCAGGUAAUGUGUGGACCCCAGCUGACCCUCUGAAUCUAAGCUCCAAUUCUGACCCACUACUCCAAGCUCUGGCUUCCCUGCUUGAUGGGUUAAAAUACAGACGCACAACCACAAGCAUAUCUCACAUGUUUGGCUAUUACCAGAAAACAACUAUAAUUGCAGAAAAGUUUAGACAUCCUCCCUUUAUCAACUAUCUCAAACAUCAUCACUGUAUCUCUAUUUUUUCUGCAUUUUUUUUCACAAGAGCUUAUCUACCUGAGUUAUAUUUAAAUAUAAAACUGUGCUCUUAAGGAUUUCCAGGAUUUUGCAUUACCUUGGGUUCAGUCUGGGCAUGAAACAUUCUAUUUUGACUCUAGCUAGCAUUUAGUUUGGUGACCUAUAUAUUUCACUAUCUACCCCUUUUGCUUUUCUACGAAAAACAGAAGAUAUUUUGUAUGUCAACAGCUUACUGUUUAUGGAAAGGAUCCUGACAGCUAUGAUUAAUGAAGUAAAGUCUCCAUGCUCCAGGGCUGGCAGUAAUGGCUUGCAUUUUCCAGUUGUGAAAAGUUUCCUCCUGCAGGCAGUUAAAGAAAUGUGUUUCCUGAAUGUCUUCUCUGGCUUUGAUCUCUGCCCAACUCUCAUCCCAAGACCAAGCAACAGAAAUACUCUACUCAAUUUUCAAAAUGUACCCUUUGCUGGCAGCCACACUGGGUCAACCACUGAUUCUUUCCACAAAAUUCUACUACAGAUUAAAUUAUAUAGUGCCUAAAACCUAGUGAGUUUGCUUUGCUCUGAAUUUUACUUUUACUUACCUAUCAAAUGUCAGUCCUGCUCCAGUUCCCUCAUCUCCUUGACUCCUCCAAGCUCUUUCUGUCUUGUUCUCUUUUCUCUUUGCAGUGGGAAAUAGAGGCAGAACCCAAUUCACACUGCUCUUCUACAAUUUAUUAGCUGGGGAUUCAAUCAAACUGUGUAACCUCUCAGUCUCAAUUCCACUGCCACAGCAGUAAAUAUGACACAGAAUGUGCAAUUGGAUAAGCCCAUGUGGGGCAAGGUCUGACCAUAAUACAGAGCAAAACUAUCACUAUUUUCAUACUUUGUAGCAGUGUGUAGCUCAUCAAGAGAAUUCUCUUUUAAGAAGAGAUGUUUUGUGUGUUCUUAAGUUGAAAUGAGAAACAUCGUAUUUUGAAUUUAGAUAUUCCAUGUAUUUCCUAUGAAUCAGUCAGUCUUCACCUCUCCAUUCUCAGCUGGUUCCUCAGAAGCCAAAGAAGUGUUCAUUCCCAUUCACACAAGAGUAGUUCCUACGUAUAUGUUUACACCCCAAACAUGUUCUCCCUAUUUGGAGCAAGAGAGGGAAUGCUACAGCAGGCAAUAACAGUUAGAAAAUUUGCUCUUUCUCCAUUUUCAAAAGUUAACCAUUGUUUUACAGGGUGAGACACAUAGAAGAAAUUUAGGAAUUUCUGCAUAUAGACAGCAACAGUGGAAAACUCCC